AUUGAACGCUGGCGGCAGGCCUAACACAUGCAAGUCGAGCGGAUGAAGGGAGCUUGCUCCUGGAUUCAGCGGCGGACGGGUGAGUAAUGCCUAGGAAUCUGCCUGGUAGUGGGGGAUAACGUCCGGAAACGGGCGCUAAUACCGCAUACGUCCUGAGGGAGAAAGUGGGGGAUCUUCGGACCUCACGCUAUCAGAUGAGCCUAGGUCGGAUUAGCUAGUUGGUGGGGUAAAGGCCUACCAAGGCGACGAUCCGUAACUGGUCUGAGAGGAUGAUCAGUCACACUGGAACUGAGACACGGUCCAGACUCCUACGGGAGGCAGCAGUGGGGAAUAUUGGACAAUGGGCGAAAGCCUGAUCCAGCCAUGCCGCGUGUGUGAAGAAGGUCUUCGGAUUGUAAAGCACUUUAAGUUGGGAGGAAAGGCAGUAAGUUAAUACCCUGCUGUUUUGACGUUACCAACAGAAUAAGCACCGGCUAACUUCGUG
rnacentral:rRNA from 1 species